AUGAGAUCAGGUGGAAGUGUGUUCUUAGAGAAUGCAUGCAUCUCUAAGAUGAUAAAGGAAUUUAGCUCUAUACGGGAUGACGCACCAAAAUGGGUAUUACAGAGAGCUAAAACUUAUUUGGAACAUGAUAUGAUAUUCGUUCCAGUUAACAUUGAAGAGUUUCAUUGGUACCUAGCAGUUAUAAAUACCGGGAAGCGAUGUAUCUAG
rnacentral:rRNA from 1 species